GGAAGAUGGCGCAACGGCCGCGAAACGGACUUGAACCCCGUGCCACUUAGCAAUAGGUGAUUGUUCGACUCAAUCAUCUUCCUCCA
rnacentral:tRNA from 1 species